UACUCGAGUGGCGAACGGGUGAGUAACACGCGGGUGAUCUGCCCUGCACUUCGGGAUAAGCCUGGGAAACUGGGUCUAAUACCGGAUAGGAGCCAUUUUUAGUGUGAUGGUUGGAAAGUUUUUUCGGUGUAGGAUGAGCUCGCGGCCUAUCAGCUUGUUGGUGGGGUAAUGGCCUACCAAGGCGGCGACGGGUAGCCGGCCUGAGAGGGUGGACGGCCACAUUGGGGCUGAGAUACGGCCCAG
rnacentral:rRNA from 1 species